rnacentral:rRNA from 1 species
GCCCAAGAGAUCGGGAUAACACCUGGAAACAGAUGCUAAUACCGGAUAACAACAGAUGAUGCCUAUCAACUGUUUAAAAGAUGGUUCUGCUAUCACUCUUGGAUGGACCUGCGGUGCAUUAGCUAGUUGGUAGGGUAACGGCCUGCCAAGGCGAUGAUGCAUAGCCGAGUUGAGAGACUGAUCGGCCACAUUGGGACUGAGACACGGCCCAAACUCCUACGGGAGGCAGCAGAC